rnacentral:ribozyme from 1 species
UAUCGUUCGGCUGGAUAGAAAGGAACAACACUUGGUUUUGUUUUCGCUUUAUUCACACACACAUACAUAUAUAUAUAUACAUUUAAGACAACCAUGACAACAAAAAGCAAAGGAAGAAAUAUU